GGGGGUAUAGCUCAGUUGGUAGAGGGUCUCGUUCGCAAUGAGAAGGCCAGGGGUUCGAAUCCCCUUACCUCCA
rnacentral:tRNA from 1 species